rnacentral:rRNA from 1 species
GAAUAUUGGACAAUGGGGGGAACCCUGAUCCAGCCAUGCCGCGUGUGUGAAGAAGGCCUUUUGGUUGUAAAGCACUUUAAGCGAGGAGGAGGCUACUCUAGUUAAUACCUAGAGAUAGUGGACGUUACUCGCAGAAUAAGCACCGGCUAACUCUGUGCCAGCAGCCGCGGUAAUACAGAGGGUGCAAGCGUUAAUCGGAUUUACUGGGCGUAAAGCGCGCGUAGGUGGCCAAUUAAGUCAAAUGUGAAAUCCCCGAGCUUAACUUGGGAAUUGCAUUCGAUACUGGUUGGCUAGAGUAUGGGAGAGGAUGGUAGAAUUCCAGGUGUAGCGGUGAAAUGCGUAGAGAUCUGGAGGAACACCAGUGGCGAAGGCGACCACCUGGGCUAAUACUGACACUGAGGUGCGAAAGCGUGGGGAGCAAACA